rnacentral:rRNA from 1 species
GAGGAAGGCGGGCGGCGUGCCUAAUACAUGCAAGUCGAGCGAACAGACGAGGAGCUUGCUCCUCUGACGUUAGCGGCGGACGGGUGAGUAACACGUGGAUAACCUACCUAUAAGACUGGGAUAACUUCGGGAAACCGGAGCUAAUACCGGAUAAUAUAUUGAACCGCAUGGUUCAAUAGUGAAAGACGGUUUUGCUGUCACUUAUAGAUGGAUCCGCGCCGCAUUAGCUAGUUGGUAAGGUAACGGCUUACCAAGGCAACGAUGCGUAGCCGACCUGAGAGGGUGAUCGGCCACACUGGAACUGAGACACGGUCCAGACUCCUACGGGAGGCAGCAGUAGGGAAUCUUCCGCAAUGGGCGAAAGCCUGACGGAGCAACGCCGCGUGAGUGAUGAAGGUCUUCGGAUCGUAAAACUCUGUUAUUAGGGAAGAACAAAUGUGUAAGUAACUAUGCACGUCUUGACGGUACCUAAUCAGAAAGCCACGGCUAACUACGUG